GACGAACGCUGGCGGCGUGCUUAACACAUGCAAGUCGAACGGAAAGGCCCUGCUUUUGUGGGGUGCUCGAGUGGCGAACGGGUGUGUAACACGUGUGUAACCUGCACUUGACUUUGGGAUAACUUCAGGAAACUGGGGCUAAUACCGGAUAGGAGCUCCUGCUGCAUGGUGGGGGUUGGAAAGUUUCGGCGGUUGGGGAUGGACUCGCGGCUUAUCAGCUUGUUGGUGGGGUAGUGGCUGACCAGGGCUUUGAAGGGUAGCCGGCCUGAGAGGGUGACCGGCGACAAUGGGACUGAGAGACGGCGCAGACGCCUACGGGAGGCAGUGGGGGGGAAUAUGGCACAAUGGGCGGAAGCCUGUUGCAGCAACGCCGCGUGCGUGAUGACGGCCUUCGGGGUGUAAACCGCUGUCGCCUGUGACGAAGCGUGAGUGACGGUAACUGGUAAAGAAGCACCGGCUAACUACGUG
rnacentral:rRNA from 1 species